CAGCCGCCGCGGGAAUACAUAGGGUGCAAGCGUUAAUCGGAAUUACUGGGCGUAAAGCGUGCGCAGGCGGUUUGUUAAGACAGAUGUGAAAUCCCCGGGCUCAACCUGGGAACUGCAUUUGUGACUGGCAAGCUAGAGUGUGGCAGAGGGGGGUGGAAUUCCGCGUGUAGCAGUGAAAUGCGUAGAUAUGCGGAGGAACACCGAUGGCGAAGGCAGCCCCCUGGGCCAACACUGACGCUCAUGCACGAAAGCGUGGGGAGCAAACAGGAUUAGAUACCCCCGUAGUCCCUGUCUCUUAUAC
rnacentral:rRNA from 1 species